rnacentral:rRNA from 1 species
UACGUAGGGUGCAAGCGUUGUUCGGAAUUACUGGGCGUAAAGGGCGCGUAGGCGGGCCCGUAUGUCGAUUGUGAAAGCCCAGGGCUUAACCUUGGAAUUGCAGUCGAAACUGCGGGUCUUGAAUGCCUGAGGGGAUGGCGGAAUUCCCGGUGUAGAAGUGAAAUUCGUAGAUAUCGGGAAGAACACCUGAGGCGAAGGCGGCUGUCUGGCGGUGCAUUGACGCUGAGGCGCGAAAGCGUGGGGAGCAAACAGG